AGAGCCACAGGCUUCCCUCAAAACAUCUCACAAGUCAGAUGCAGGCAUGAGGACAGAUGGAGAAACAUCACAGAGCCGUCAUUUCUGGAAAUUGACUCAACACGUAAGAGGAGCACUGGAUGAAUGCUUAGAGCAGAUAUCUAAAACCCAGGUCUAAUGCCAAGGAGGCGGUUGUCCCCCUGCUGUCUGGCAGAGGAUCACACUCAGAAACAGAUUGGUUUAUGCUAUGCUCAUCUGCUGUCCCUGUGUCUUCACAGAGGGGAUCUAAGCUGACAGAGCUGGGAUUCAGAGCUAUGCCUUCCAGCUCCCUAACACAGGCUUGAGCAGACCUGCAUGCUGAGACGGGGUUCCCCAACAUGUUGGGUAAGUAAAAUCCUCAUGCGUUUUGCAACGAUGGCGGUCUCUGUGCUCUUUGUGGGUGAGGAUCUUUUAGCGACCUACAACAGUCCUGAGGAUGGUGUGGCAGGAGCACUGUAAGCAUCCUUGAAUCUGGAUUUCAAAAGUAAAGACAGAGGCAGGAAAAAGAAGUUGAAAAGAAGCCUAGUGGUUGGCCCAAGGAUGAAAUACAGCGACAGCUAGGGGCUGUGACCUCACACAAGAGGAUAAGCCCGGGAUGGAGGUUGGUGUGUGCCAGGAGACUCUGUGAGGUGGUACAUUUUUCUGGAUUCAAAAACAAGAUGUGUUUUUAAAAACCAAAUGAAAUCACCUAAAGCUCAAAGAGUAUCAGCCUCGGAGGGAAGGACAUUAAAGCCUGAACGCAGAUGGCUCCACUCACAAGGCAGUGUCUUUAUCCCUUACCUUGUUCCCCCUACAGACUUACACCUGCCCCCAGGAGAAGAAAAGAGACAACACAGUGAGGAAGCUUUCUGUCUAUAUGCCUGGUUUAUAAACAAUCACUGUCUGAGAAAUCCUUGCACGCUAACUAUUUACACCUAAUAAAAUAUGGUUAUAUUUGUGUGAG